GGAGCUUGCUCCACCGGAAAAAGAGGAGUGGCGAACGGGUGAGUAACACGUGGGUAACCUGCCCAUCAGAAGGGGAUAACACUUGGAAACAGGUGCUAAUACCGUAUAACAAUCGAAACCGCAUGGUUUUGAUUUGAAAGGCGCUUUCGGGUGUCGCUGAUGGAUGGACCCGCGGUGCAUUAGCUAGUUGGUGAGGUAACGGCUCACCAAGGCCACGAUGCAUAGCCGACCUGAGAGGGUGAUCGGCCACAUUGGGACUGAGACACGGCCCAAACUCCUACGGGAGGCAGCAGUAGGGAAUCUUCGGCAAUGGACGAAAGUCUGACCGAGCAACGCCGCGUGAGUGAAGAAGGUUUUCGGAUCGUAAAACUCUGUUGUUAGAGAAGAACAAGGAUGAGAGUAACUGUUCAUCCCUUGACGGUAUCUAACCAGAAAGCCACGGCUAACUACGUGCCAGCAGCCGCGGUAAUACGUAGGUGGCAAGCGUUGUCCGGAUUUAUUGGGCGUAAAG
rnacentral:rRNA from 1 species